GGUGAACGCUGGCGGCGUGCUUAAGACAUGCAAGUCGAACGGCAGUCUUCGGACUGUAGUGGCGCACGGGUGAGUAACGCGUAACUGACCUACCCCAAAGUCGCGGAUAACGAUUCGAAAGAAUCGCUAAUAAGUGAUGUGCUGUCAGAUUGUGUUCUGCCAGUAAAGAUUUAUUGCUUUGGGAUAGGGUUGCGUUCCAUAAGUGAGUUGGUGGGGUAAAGGCCCACCAAGGCGACGACGGAUAGCCGGCCUGAGAGGGUGGCCGGCCACAGGGGCACUGAGACACGGGUCCCACUCCUACGGGAGGCAGCAGUUAGGAAUCUUCCACAAUGGGCGAAAGCCUGAUGGAGCGACGCCGCGUGAGGGAUGAAGGUCUUCGGAUCGUAAACCUCUGAAUCAGGGACGAAAGACACUUCGGUGGGAUGACGGUACCUGAGUAAUAGCACCGGCUAACUCCGUGCCAGCCGCCGCAGUAAAAC
rnacentral:rRNA from 1 species